CGCUCAGAACAGAACAGGAAGUUAGGAAAUUAAAACAGGAAGUUAGGAAAAUUUAAAAUGAAGUUUGGAAUAUUGCAACAGCCGAUAGGAACAUUGCAAAUUCCCUCAAGGGAUUUGCAAAGAGUUUUUCAAAUUUGCAAAGCUAAUGAGGAAAAUUCCAAAUGAGUUACGAAGUCGAAAGAGGAACGCUUCACGUAGUUUACCUG